GAUGAACGCUGGCGGCGUGCUUAACACAUGCAAGUCGAACGAUGAUCUCCAGCUUGCUGGGGGGAUUAGUGGCGAACGGGUGAGUAACACGUGAGUAACCUGCCCUUGACUCUGGGAUAAGCCUGGGAAACUGGGUCUAAUACCGGAUAUGACCUUCCAUCGCAUGGUGGUUGGUGGAAGGCUUUUGUGGUUUUGGAUGGACUCGCGGCCUAUCAGCUUGUUGGUGGGGUAAUGGCCUACCAAGGCGACGACGGGUAGCCGGCCUGAGAGGGGGACCGGCCACACUGGGACUGAGACACGGCCCAGACUCCUACGGGAGGCAGCAGUGGGGAAUAUUGCACAAUGGGCGCAAGCCUGAUGCAGCGACGCCGCGUGAGGGAUGACGGCCUUCGGGUUGUAAACCUCUUUCAGUAGGGAAGAAGCCGUGAGGUGACGGUACCUGCAGAAGAAGCGCCGGCUAACUACGUGCCAGCCGCCGCGGUAACAC
rnacentral:rRNA from 1 species